CUUGUAAAGAGGAAGGCUUUGCAAGGAGAAACGUAGCUGCUGCUGCUGCUUGUGUCGUAUUUGUGGUUGAUGUGUGUGUGUGUGUGUGUGUGUGUGUAUGUCACUGGGAAGGCGGCAAUGACAAGGCAGUCACUGACAAUCUCAAUUCCUUGGCACAACCUAGAACAUUUGGAUUGCUCAGAAGUCCAAAUAUAGCGCUUCCCAAGAGCAUUUGUGUAUUUUAAGCGAGAGUGACUGCCCCUUCUUCAUCCCCAUCUCAAA